UAAAAGCUUAGGUUAAAUUAAACCAAGGGCCUUCAAAGCCCCAAACAAGGACUAAACCCCUUAGCUUUUG
rnacentral:tRNA from 1 species